CAUGUACUCACUCCGUCUCAUAUUAAGUGACUUUCUAUUACAUGUAUCUAGACGUGUUUUAGGCACAGAUACAUUCAUAUUUGUACAAAUUUGAGUCGCUUAAUAUGGGACGGAGGGAGUAGAAG
rnacentral:pre_miRNA from 1 species